CAAACUAGAGAUGCUUUGUAUGAAGGUGGGCUGUGUUAACACGGACAGGUGCAGACAUGGGGGGGCUUUUAUCCAACUACUGCUCACCGG